rnacentral:sRNA from 1 species
AUUCAUACUCAGCACUCUCGGAAAUACAAUUUAAACAUUAAGAUGGGUGAGAUGAGGGUAACACCGUAUGACGCCACCUACAGCUCGCCUACAAUUGUUCCUCUCUAUUCUGAAAUAUUAAUUAAUUCUAUUGACUGCGCGCGUUCUCAAAGUCGGACAACGUUGACAAUCACUAAACAGUAAUGCACGGAUCGCGACUUGAAAACUCGACGUACUUUGUAAACCCCAUUUCCAGCUUCAGAUCCACUUCAGCGGCAAUGUGGCUCGGCCUUUUCUCCGGCUCACGGACCAGCUAAGCUUCAUUUUCACUACUAAUGACAAUUGAAAGAUGUUCUUUGAUCAAAUCGGCAGGACUACUGUUUGUGGCAGCGAUGUAGGAUGCUCAUCCACGGUCCGACUAAACAUUCCUCCUACUUGUUGGUCAAGGCCACCUGUUCAAUAUAUGAAAAUUGUUAAUACGCAGAAUUUCAAGUACAAUCUCCUGAUUAUUUUAAUUUCUUA